rnacentral:rRNA from 1 species
UAAGGAAUAUUGCGCAAUGGGGGAAACCCUGACGCAGCAACGCCGCGUGGAGGAUGACACUUUUCGGAGCGUAAACUCCUUUUAUCAGGAAAGAAUAAUGACGGUACCUGAUGAAUAAGCACCGGCUAACUCCGUGCCAGCAGCCGCGGUAAUACGGGGGGUGCAAGCGUUACUCGGAAUCACUGGGCGUAAAGGACGCGUAGGCGGAUUAUCAAGUCUUUUGUGAAAUCUAGUGGCUUAACCACUAAACUGCUUAGGAAACUGAUAGUCUAGAGUAGGGGAGAGGUAGAUGGAAUUCUUGGUGUAGGGGUAAAAUCCGUAGAGAUCAAGAAGAAUACCCAUUGCGAAAGCGAUCUGCUGGAACCUAACUGACGCGGAGGCGUGAAAGCGUGGGUAGCAAACAGG